rfam:Ovis aries breed Texel chromosome 1, whole genome shotgun sequence.
CCUGGUGGCUCAGAUGGUAAAGCGUCUGCCUGCAAUGCGGGAGACCCGGGUUUGAUUCCUGGGUCAGGA